rnacentral:rRNA from 1 species
UACGAAGGGGGCUAGCGUUGCUCGGAAUCACUGGGCGUAAAGGGUGCGUAGGCGGGUUUUUAAGUCAGAGGUGAAAUCCUGGAGCUCAACUCCAGAACUGCCUUUGAUACUGGGAAUCUUGAGUAUGGAAGAGGUGAGUGGAACUGCGAGUGUAGAGGUGAAAUUCGUAGAUAUUCGCAAGAACACCAGUGGCGAAGGCGCUCACUGGUCCAUACUGACGCUGAGGCACGAAAGCGUGGGGAGCAAACAGG